rnacentral:rRNA from 1 species
AGAUUGAACGCUGGCGGCAGGCCUAACACAUGCAAGUCGAGCGGUAGAGAGGUGCUUGCACCUCUUGAGAGCGGCGGACGGGUGAGUAAUGCCUAGGAAUCUGCCUAGUGGUGGGGGAUAACGUUCGGAAACGGACGCUAAUACCGCAUACGUCCUACGGGAGAAAGCGGGGGACCUUCGGGCCUCGCGCCAUUAGAUGAGCCUAGGUCGGAUUAGCUAGUUGGUGAGGUAAUGGCUCACCAAGGCGACGAUCCGUAACUGGUCUGAGAGGAUGAUCAGUCACACUGGAACUGAGACACGGUCCAGACUCCGUA